UGCGGCGUGCUUAACACAUGCAAGUCGAACGGAAAGGCCCUGCUUUUGUGGGGUGCUCGAGUGGCGAACGGGUGAGUAACACGUGAGUAACCUGCCCUUGACUUUGGGAUAACUUCAGGAAACUGGGGCUAAUACCGGAUAGGAGCUCCUGCUGCAUGGUGGGGGUUGGAAAGUUUCGGCGGUUGGGGAUGGACUCGCGGCUUAUCAGCUUGUUGGUGGGGUAGUGGCUUACCAAGGCUUUGACGGGUAGCCGGCCUGAGAGGGUGACCGGCCACAUUGGGACUGAGAUACGGCCCAGACUCCUACGGGAGGCAGCAGUGGGGAAUAUUGCACAAUGGGCGGAAGCCUGAUGCAGCAACGCCGCGUGCGGGAUGACGGCCUUCGGGUUGUAAACCGCUUUCGCCUGUGACGAAGCGUGAGUGACGGUAAUGGGUAAAGAAGCACCGGCUAACUACGUGCCAGCAGCCGCGGUGAUACGUAGGGUGCGAGCGUUGUCCGGAUUUAUUGGGCGUAAAGGGCUCGUAGGUGGUUGAUCGCGUCGGAAGUGUAAUCUUGGGGCUUAACCCUGAGCGUGCUUUCGAUACGGGUUGACUUGAGGAAGGUAGGGGAGAAUGGAAUUCCUGGUGGAGCGGUGGAAUGCGCAGAUAUCAGGAGGAACACCAGUGGCGAAGGCGGUUCUCUGGGCCUUUCCUGACGCUGAGGAGCGAAAGCGUGGGGAGCGAACAGGCUUAGAUACCCUGGUAGUCCACGCUGUAAACGGUGGGUACUAGGUGUGGGGUCCAUUCCACGGGUUCCGUGCCGUAGCUAACGCUUUAAGUACCCCGCCUGGGGAGUACGGCCGCAAGGCUAAAACUCAAAGGAAUUGACGGGGCCCCGUACAAGCGGCGGAGCAUGCGGAUUAAUUCGAUGCAACGCGUAGAACCUUACCUGGGUUUGACAUGGAUCGGGAGUGCUCAGAGAUGGGUGUGCCUCUUUUGGGGUCGGUUCACAGGUGGUGCAUGGCUGUCGUCAGCUCGUGUCGUGAGAUGUUGGGUUAAGUCCCGCAACGAGCGCAACCCUUGUUCACUGUUGCCAGCACGUUAUGGUGGGGACUCAGUGGAGACCGCCGGGGUCAACUCGGAGGAAGGUGGGGAUGACGUCAAGUCAUCAUGCCCCUUAUGUCCAGGGCUUCACGCAUGCUACAAUGGCUGGUACAGAGAGUGGCGAGCCUGUGAGGGUGAGCGAAUCUCGGAAAGCCGGUCUCAGUUCGGAUUGGGGUCAGCAACUCGACCUCAUGAAGUCGGAGUCGCUAGUAAUCGCAGAUCAGCAACGCUGCGGUGAAUACGUUCCCGGGGCUUGUACACACCGCCCGUCAAGUCAUGAAAGUUGGUAACACCCGAAGCCGGUGGCCUAACCGUUGUGGGGGAGCCGUCGAAGGUGGGACUGGUGAUUAG
rnacentral:rRNA from 1 species